UAGUGUGAGCUGGGAAUUAAGCAGCCGUGAGAAACUGAAAGCUAAAGCUGUGAUCGACAGAGGGACGUGGCCCUGCUCCUGCCUCUGUCCUUUCUGUGUCCAGACUUGACCUUCUCCUCCCCCUCAGCUCACCAGAUUUCAGCUUUUCAGUCAGUCCCAUGCCUGAUUUCAUGAAGGCACACUGGCACUUCAUCAGAUGGCCCCAGCCAGGCCCUGCCUCUGUGUUUGGGAAGAGGGAGCAGACACAAGUCUCAGACUGUAAGUGGCAGGCUGGCCUGGCGUCAGGGCCACUCAGCACCCAGGCCGGUGCGGGAAGGAGGCCUUUCAUCUCUAGGCUCAGACAACUGGUUUGGGGCCUUUUAAUAAGUACUUCCUUCUGCACUGAAAUAUGAAAUAAUAAUACCUUAGCCCCACAGCAUAACUAUGUGCCAAGACUAUAGAAACGCUUCUCACAGAUAAUGCAGAGGAACGGUCCUGAAACAAGGACGGAAAGUCCUGAAACAUUUUUCCUGAAGAAUUUGCUGGUCCUCCGAGGCAGCUGCAGAGCAGGAGGAUCCAGAAAAGUCACUGAAGAGGUCCCAGGUUCAAAUCUCGACCCUGUCACUUGCUAAAAGCAACGUAAACUCUCUGCACCUCUCUUUUCUUGCCUGUAAGGUAAGGUGGUGCAGCAUAAGGAUGUUAGGAUGGCAUGGGUGCCUCACUGCAUGCCUGGGACAUGGUAAGCUUUCAAUAAAUAGCAUCAUUUUAAGAAUUGAAAAGGAGGCCUGGAUAGGGCUCCAGUUCGUACACACGUAUUUUGGGAUGUGUGCAAUCUCUCUACGUUGAAAUUUUCUCCACAAAGCUCAAAAGUAUUCAGUCAUCAGUUUUCUGCUGCUUCCUAUUGCACAAACCGUUUCCUGUUCCCAGGACUGCUGACACUAGGACGUAAAGGGACAAACAGCCUGAUGAAAAGGAGCCUCAGUCCUGGGCUGGCCCCAUUGUCAGCAGCAACAACACUUGCUCUAAAGCUGGCCAGGGGUCGCCACCAAGACCCAGUGUUGAAAGCCACUGUGUCAUUGCAGGACCAAGUGGAAAAGGAGAGGCUGCCUCCCUCCUGCGCCUGCCCUAGAAACAGUGGGCCUGGCAGUUAGUGGAGGGAGCUUAGGAGAUCCCGUCUUCCGGAAGGUCCAGGAGCUCACCACGCCUGUUAGAUUCCAUGAUGAUAUUCUAGCACAGAGAGUUGUGGGCUAACCCAGGGUUUAAACUGUGAUGUCCAAGCAACUGUUGGGCUGCAUUAUGCCAGCUCAAGGGCUUUCUCCAAUCCCUGCCCCGAGGUGGCCACCGCAGCAGUGUAGGAGAGUGAAGGAGCCAGAAGGGGGUCUGCCCCACCUGCCCACUCAGCAAACCAUGCUUUUGGCUUACUUCACUAGAUACUUGGAAAGCAAUAGCAACAAGCUUUAAUCAGAUACCAUGGGAAAACAUAGCCCUUAUUUUGAAUCACCUAAAAUCUGAAAGUGGAGAGACAAAAAUAUACGUACUUCACUAGUGGCUUCUGCAAGUUUGUUUUACUAGAUCAUGCAGGAAGCAGCUAGACAGCAGUGGCUCCUUCUACCUUCCCUGCACGUGCCUUGAAAUCAGCUUCAUCUCUCCUGGUAACCCCCUAGAAAUUUCGCUUCAACGAGAUUAGGUCCUUAAAAUUAUGACUUCUGCACCUCCUAGUCUUGUCACCACCUCCCAGCCCUGGGCCACACCUGUAGCCUCCAGAAAACUUACCAAUGGAGUCAGGACUUUCUCUCAGUGGUUUUCAAGGUAACAAAGUGGCUUUCAGAGCCUCAUCUCCAAAUGAAGGCCAGGACACACACAAUUAAAUCAAGGUAGUUGAAAGGAAAAAGCUUUCAAAUAAACCUUUCUGGGAUUCAAUUAUGAGUCUUGCUUCACCGCGAAUCACAUACCCCAUUGUAAUACUAAUCUUGAACAAAAUUUCUAUUUGCAUCAUAUGUUUUCUUGCUCACCAAGAGGGCGACACAUUACCAAUAGAUACCUGGGGACGUGCUUCAGUCUGAACUAUAAUUGAAUCCCUGACAUUAUAAGGAACUUGGUAAGAAUUUUCCUCUUGAAAUCUAUUUUUACAAAAGUGACUUAUUGUGUACCUUGUGUGCAGUGAUAAUGCACUAAGUAAAGGUAAUGCCAGAGACCACAGCAAAAACUUAGAUGAUCUGUUUUCACACCAGAUUUCUCCGAAGCAAGAUCACCAUCACAGCACUGAGCUGCCGUUCACUUAGUAAGCCACACAAAUCUGAAUUCAGCACAAAGCCUUCCCUCUUCGUGCUUCCCCCGCCUCAAGCCUCAAGUUCAGCAGCUCCUGCCUCAGCCCUCUCCCAUUCUCUCUGUCCUCAUCGUGGUCUGUGGGUCCUUUCCCAUCCUCCCCACAGCCUCUCCAUGCAGAGUUUCUGAGGGGCCCUGAGUUACGCUAAACUUGAAACCUGCUGGUGUGAUGUGAUAGAAUUUCUUAUGUAUAAUAUAACAUAUGCAUAUGAGUGCAACAUGAACACCCCAUAACCUUGUUCUUGAUGUCUACUGUCGAACUUCCUGGAUGUAAGACUUUCCUAGCAUCUUAAUACAGCUUUUUAAAAAAUUGCCAACUUACCGGCUGGGCGUGAUGGUUCACACCUGUAAUCCCAGCCCUUUGGGAGGCCAAGGCAGGUGGAUCACUUGAGGUCAGGAGUUCGAGACCAGCCUGGCCAACAUGGCAAAACCCAUCUCUACUACAAAUACAAAAAUUAGCUGGGCGUGGGUGGCGGGUGCCUGUAAUCACAGCUGCUCAGGAAGCUAAGACAGGAGAAUCGUUUGAACCAAGUAGGUGGUGGCUGCAGUGAGCCGAGAUCACGCCACUGCACUCUAGCCUGAGCAACAGAGCGAGGCCUCAUCUCAAAAAAAAAAAUAUUGCUAACAUACAAUUUCUCAUUGUUAUUUACCCUUCAUUUGACAUUGUAUUCCAUAGUCUCAACUUUAUCUUUACAGCAUUCAUUCAAGAAAGGAAAUAGGGAUUACAUGAGGAAAAAGAGAGCAAAGGAAAAAAUUUCGAUAAAGGAAAUUGUCCUCCCUUCCCCCCCACCAAAAAAAAAUUCUCCUUUGCUGGAAAGUGAACCUAAAAGCAGUUUUGCUUUUCAAAAGUUUUCUAAACACACACACAUACGCAUACACACACACACACGCAUACACACACACACGCACACACGCACACAGUAUUUC
rnacentral:lncRNA from 10 species